UUGCUUUGGCAGUACAUAUACUAAAUUUGGAAUGAUACGAGAAGAUUAGCAUGGCCCCUGUGCAAGGAUGACACACAAAUUGUUUCAUAUAAAAAAAAAAGCA
ensembl:snRNA U6 U6 spliceosomal RNA